rfam:Lactobacillus johnsonii NCC 533, complete genome.
AUGACCUUUAAUAUAGUCCCGUGAGGCUAUCAAGGAAAUCUGCGCGUAAACUAUUUUUUGACAUAGUUUUAAACAGAAACGACUAUCUUAAAGGAAACUUCUUUAGAUAGUCGUUUUUUCUUU